ACGCCAAGGCAGCACAUAUACUAAAAUUGGAACAAUACAGAGAAGAUUAGCUUGCCCCCUGCUCAAGGAUGACACGCAAAUUCGUGAAGUGUUCCAUAUUAAA
rnacentral:snRNA from 1 species